rnacentral:rRNA from 1 species
AUACGGAGGGUGCAAGCGUUGUUCGGAAUCACUGGGCGUAAAGGGCGCGCAGGCGGUUUGGUAAGUCAGAUGUGAAAGCCCACGGCUCAACCGCGGAAGUGCAUUUGAAACUGUCAGACUUGAGUACUAGAGGGGAAAGUGGAAUUCCCGGUGUAGAGGUGAAAUUCGUAGAUAUCGGGAGGAAUACCGGUGGCGAAGGCGACUUUCUGGCUAGAUACUGACGCUGAGGCGCGAAAGCGUGGGGAGCAAACAGGAUUAGAAACCCUAGUAGUCC